CCUUUUCUUGUAACUCUUCUAUUUCAAUCCUUCUCUUCCUUGCCCUAACCUGCUGCAAAUAUUCUUCCCAUAAACCCUUAGGGUAUUUUGCAUUUGGAUCAACCACAAAACCUAUGCGAUCUCUCUCCUCCCUCAACCUUUGUUUCUCCAACUCCCUCUCCUCCUGCAACUUCCUCCUAUUUUAUCUCUUCUCAUCUUCAGUUAGAGGUCAUGGAUACUUGGUUCUGUUCUGCCUCCAAUACUUAAUAAUAUUUUCCUUUGCAUAAAAUCCUUUAGGCUUCACUC
rnacentral:lncRNA from 1 species